rnacentral:sRNA from 13 species
AUGGGCUGAUACCGUUGCGAUGCUGCGCGCCUGGAGCGAAGUCCGGUGUGAACCCGGCGCUGUCCCGCAACUGUGGUGCCCUUCCGAGUGGCCGAGCCAGGUCGCCUCCUCGCGCGCCGAC